UACGAAGGGGGCUAGCGUUGUUCGGAAUCACUGGGCGUAAAGCGCACGUAGGCGGAUCUUUUAAGUCAGAGGUGAAAUCCCAAGGCUCAACCUUGGAACUGCCUUUGAUACUGGGGAUCUUGAGUCCGGGAGAGGUGAGUGGAACUGCGAGUGUAGAGGUGAAAUUCGUAGAUAUUCGCAAGAACACCAGUGGCGAAGGCGGCUCACUGGCCCGAUACUGACGCUGAGGCACGAAAGCGUGGGGAGC
rnacentral:rRNA from 1 species